AUGCUGCUAGCUAUAGUGCAGAGCCGUCGCGUCGACAAGGGUCAGAGAAGGCAGGGCUCCUCGCGUCGAGGAGCAGGAGGAGUGUGGGCCUGCGGCGGCUCGCGCCAUCGCCAUGGCGUCGUCCUCGUCCAAGGCCUCCGACUCCUCCUCCCACCGGGACGGCCCCAAGGUAGCGUUCGCCGGCCUCCGAUUCCCCUAGCGGCCCGGUUCCCCGCCUCGAUCUCCCUCCCCAAUCUGAUCGGGUUCGAUCCUUUUCCGUCCCCUUGUUUUUUUUUCUUUCGUGCUCCGCAGCGGCCGGAUCAGGGGCUCGGCGUGGGCACCUCCUCACUCAUGGCGCUCCAUGGGAAGCUUACGCAGCUGAAGCGCCAAAUCCAACAGGCCCGCCUCGCCUCGAUCAAGGAGAAGCUGGAGGCAAACAGGAGGGCGCUGCGGAAGCACACCUGCGGCCUGUUCGAUGUGGCCGCCCUGGCGGAGGCGGCGUCGAGGGGCUCGGAGAGCAGCAACGUGCUGUCGCAGCUCGCCGCGGAGGGCCAGUCCAGGAUCGUUGGCUGGAACCUGGCGAGAGGGUCGGGGGAGAGGGAGGUUGUGCACGUGCAGGAGGAGAACCUGUCGGCCGACGGGACGCUCGUGCUCUCCAGCUCCGGCGACAGCGCACAGUCCAUCGUUUUGCAGCUUGUGAAGCUGCCGCUGGUUGAUAAGAUUCCUCCGUACACCACGUGGAUCUUCCUGGACAAAAACCAAAGAAUGGCCGAUGAUCAAUCAAUUGCUGGUAGGAGGAGAAUUUACUAUGAUUCAGCUGGCAACGAGGCUCUAAUCUGCAGUGAAAGUGAUGAAGAAAUUCCACAACCUGAGGAAGAGAAGCAUGUUUUCACUGAAGGAGAAGAUCAGCUAAUAUGGAAAGCUACUCAGGAACGCGGGUUAAGUCAAGAGGAUUUAAAUGUUAUCUGUCAGUUUAUUGAUGCAUCUCCUUCAGAAAUCGAGGGUAGAUCUGAAUUUCUUUUUGAGAAACACGAGAAGCACUCUGAAUUUUCUGAUAAGAUAGAGAGCCAACUUCCUCUUGACAAGACUGUGGAUAUAGUUUUGGAUUCUUUUGAUAAUCUCUUCUGCCGCAGAUGUUUGGUUUUUGAUUGCCGUCUCCAUGGCUGCUCUCAAAACUUAGUAUUCCCAAGUGAGAAGCAACCCUGUGGGUUUGAGCUCGACGGAAACAAGAGUCCAUGUGGUGACCAGUGCUACCUUCGAAGAAGAGAAGGAUUUCAAGACAUACACAAACAUGAUUAUGCUUCUUCUGCAACACAUAAUAUGGAGUCAAGAUCCACCUUACACAAAGUUGGUACUGAUAUGGUAUCUGAAUCAGAAGAUUCAAACCGAGAGGAAGAAAUCAUUAAAUCAAGUAUAUCUGUUGGAACCAGCAGAUCAAAAAUAUCUUUUGAAAGUGCUGAAAAACAUACUGCACUGCCUUCUGGGGAUGCUUCUGAAACUGAAAAUGUAUCCACUGAUAUGCUUCUAAGAAGUUUAGGGAAGCGCAAGGUUUCAAAAGGACCAAGGUCUAGUGAUGAUUUCCCUUAUAAAAAGCCAAGGACGCUUGCUUCAGAUAUUCCUUUUGCAAGCCAUAUAUUGAAUAAUCAUUCUACUUCGGAGAUUGGUGACACAAGACCAGAUAUCAGAGAAUUUGGAGGCAAUCAACGAGAUGACCCCAAUAAGAAAACUUCUAAUAAAGAUAGUUGCGGUGGAAGCCCAACUAGUACUGCUGAGGAUGCAGCAAGAAAUACUAAUAAAGAAUCUUCAGCAAAUAAUUUGUUCAGUUCCAGCAGGGAGCACCCUCUUUCUCAUUGGAGUACCCUAGAGAGGGAUUUAUAUCUGAAGGGAAUAGAGAUAUUUGGGAAAAAUAGCUGUCUAAUAGUCAGAAACCUAUUAUGUGGCCUGAAAACCUGCAUGGAAGUGGCUAGCUACAUGUACAACAAUGGUGCAGCAAACAUGAGUAAAUCCAUUUCGGGCGAUUUCACAGAAACUGAACAAAACUACAUGGAGCAAGGCAUGGUUGUGAGAACAAAAGUCUGUCGUCGAAGGGGCAGAACUCGAAAGCACAAAUAUCCUUCGAAGGCUGCAGGGCAUCCAGCCAUUAGGAAAAAAGUUGGUGAUGGGAAGCAAUGUGACAGACAGUAUACACCGUGUGGGUGCCAGGAAAUGUGCAACAAAAAUUGCCCCUGUGUGGAAAAUGGGACAUGCUGUGAGAAAUACUGUGGGUGUUCAAAAAGCUGCAAAAACAGAUUUAGAGGCUGUCAUUGUGCAAAAAGUCAGUGCAGAAGCAGGCAAUGCCCAUGUUUUGCUGCCAGUCGAGAAUGUGAUCCGGAUGUUUGCAGAAACUGCUGGGUGAGCUGUGGAGAUGGUUCACUAGGCGAGCCACCAGAAAGAGGUGAUGGUUACCAGUGCGGAAACAUGAAGCUCCUCCUAAAACAACAACAAAGGAUUUUGCUUGGAAAAUCGGACGUUGCAGGAUGGGGUGCGUUCAUUAAGAACCCUGUGCAUAAGAAUGACUAUCUUGGAGAGUACACUGGUGAAUUGAUUUCUCACAAAGAAGCAGACAAACGCGGCAAAAUUUAUGACCGGGCAAACUCUUCAUUCCUCUUUGAUUUAAAUGAUCAGUUUGUAUUGGAUGCAUAUCGGAAGGGGGAUAAAUUGAAGUUCGCAAAUCACUCCUCCAGUCCCAACUGCUAUGCAAAGGUGAUGAUGGUGGCCGGUGACCAUCGGGUUGGUAUCUAUGCAAGGGAGCAUAUUGAAGCUAGUGCCGAACUCUUCUAUGAUUACCGGUAUGGACCGGACCAAGCCCCAGCCUGGGCUAGGAGACCAGAAGGAGCAAAGAAGGAUGAAGCGUCUGGUUCUCAUCGUCGAGCACACAAAGUUGCUUGA
rnacentral:rRNA from 1 species